CCACGGCAUAUGGAGGUUCCCAGGCUAAGGGUCUAAUAGGAGCUGUAGCUACCGGCCAACGUCACAGCCACAGCAACGCCAGAUCCAAGCCAUGUCUGCGACCUACACCACAGCUCACGGCAACGCCAGAUCCGAUCCUUAACCCACUGAGCAAGGCCAAGGAUCGAACCCGGAACCUCAAGGUUCCUAGUCGGAUUUGUUUCCGCUGUGCCACAACAGGAAUUCCUCGCCCAAUUUUUAAAUGUAGACAACUUACUGAAGUGUUCCUUUUUGUUUUUUGUUGUUGUUGUUUCCCCAAAAAACACUGCGUGGGCCAAACAAAACAGAUCGACAGACUGGACUUGGCCCACGGGUCUGCAAUGGUAACCUCCGCUCAGCGGGCUCCCUGCUUGCCUUCGAGUCAGGCGGGUCCUGCAGGCAGCACAAACCACCAGCCGGGACUGGAGAUCACCCCACUUCGAGUGCCAGCUUCCAGCCCAUGAACCUCUUAAUGGGAAAUAAAUGUUUAAAUCAACUCCCAACCGACACCCACACCAAAAGGACAGAAACUACUAAUUCCUACCCACCACAUCCAAGUCGCCAGUUUUACUUCACAGGAAGGGGAAAAAAAUAAAAAGGAUCUAUUAAAAAAAGAAGAGGAAGAAGAAAGAAAAAAGAAAACCAACAAAGGCAAACUGGGAAACGCACUGCUGCUGACUUGCCGUCAGAGGGGAGCAGCUCAGCCCUGGGCCCGUCCCAGACAUGAAAAUUACAGAGCAGCGUCGCAGACAUACCCCUGCCCUCUGUGUCACUCACGCAGGAGGAAUGCGACGCGACAACCUCCCCCGGGACCAGGAGCAGGGCUGACCUCAGAGAGGGGUGUGGGCACAGGGCCCGAGGCUGAGCGGCGGGGGGCUAGGGCUCCCACACUUGUGCCCACUGCACAGAUCAGGACACUGAGGCAGGCGGCGGAGAUGAGGUACAAAGCCUGGUCCAUCGGACUCGGGGGUAAUGGCUGUCCUCACGCCCUCAGGACCAGCGAUUUGGCAGGCCCUGGGCAGCCAGUGGGCAGCCGCUCUGCGGCCGAGCCUGAGGCAGGCCUAAAGGGACAAGGGCAGAACAGGACAUGUGGUCUGCCCUGACCCUUCUCUUGCCAACUCCAGGAAGAGGACAUGAGACCGCGUCACAUCCCUGCUCCCCCAGGCCCUGGGCAUAAAAUCCAAGCUCCCUGGCCUUUGCACUGGCUGCACCCAACCCUGAACCAGCAAGCUUCCACCUGCCUCUCUCUCCCCCGUCCCAUGUCUGUCCUUGCACUUGCCACCUCCGUGGGGACCUUGGCAAGUGCUGACUGUAGGCUGUCGGCCCCCGGCCCCCGGCCCCCAUGAACUCUAAGCUUACUGAGAGCAGAGGCCGUGUCGGAAUGGCCUAGAACAGUGCGUGGCACAGAGCUGCCAGCCAGCAGCACUGAAUGGGCGGCAGAGUCACUACCGACGCGUCACUAGGAGAACCACAGGCUGGAUGGGCCAAACCCUCCACCGGAGGCAAGGCGAGUGUCGGCCCCAACACAGGACAGCUCGUCUGAACAGAGCCCGCUGGGUCCCAGGCCCUGUCCUGGGCCCACUUAGGCUCCUUCACUGCAUCCUGACCAUCGUCCCAGGUCAGCACAUCACUACUCUCUCAUCUGGGAGGUGAGGACACUGCAGAGGUUACACAACUCACGCCAACACACACACACCCUGGACAUUUGAACACAAGGAGCAAAACGCCAGAGAGCCUCUGAAGAUGUGUGUGCGUGUGUGUGUGUGUGUGUGUGUAUGUUCAUGGCACUGUGUGUGUGUGUGCGUGUCUGCAUGCGUGCAUCUGUGUGCACCGCCGCAGGUGUGUCUUCUGUGCAUCUGUGCCUGUAUAUGCCUGUGUGUGUGUGUGUAUGUGUGUGUGCGUUCCCCUCGCCUCCUCAAGAUGGGCUAGCUUUGUACUGAUCUUACGAGUCUCGGGGCCACAGACAAGAAACACCACCAACAAGUUAGGAGUCGGGUUUAUUCACAAACUAGUAGUUUCAACUUUGUGAAACUGAUAUUUAGUCAUUUUCGACUCACAGACUUGCAGUUCCCCCAACUGGUUCCCCCAAGUCUAACCCAAGAACCACCUUUGGGUGGUGUCUCACAGGCAGGCAGGGCCCGAGGGGAGGAACCUGGACCGGGGUCCCGGGGGGCCACCCGUCACUGCCGAUCCGGCCUGGCUUAGCUUAAGCACUUUCUCCAGACACAGCAAGGGGGAAAGCAAGCUGCUGUGAGGUGAAACUUCUGAAAUGCCAUCUCUGCGACCUGUGCAGAUGCCAUAGCGCAGAGGACAGAAACACCAGGCAGAGGGCUAGAAACAUGGCCCCUCCGCCAGCAGCCUGCAUGUGCAAAGAAAGCUCCAAACUCAGGCUGCCUCUCGAACCCGAACCUGCCCUUCACCGUGUGGCAUCCCAGGGGCCCUGAUGGGGCCUUGUCCAACCGUGGAGAGCAGGGAGCAGAAGCUGGAGGCCGCUUUAUUCAUUGAAGCGUCUCAACAUCUUUGUUGCUGUUUUUGUUUAAUUCUCUUCAAACUGAAACUGUCAAAAGUCGUGCCUGAUAAAUCUGAAGGCUGUAGAGGAAGUGGUUUGUCCUUCCUCCGAUCAUGACUUCUGCAAAAGAUAACACACAGCUCUGGGUGAAACGUCAGGCGAGCCAGGGCCCCCCCCAUGGGGCUGGAGCCACUGGAGGGGUCAAGGUGCAAGUUCCUCCGGUUCCCAGCCCCCCAGUGUCGGCUGCUCCACGAGGCAGAAGGGGCCAAAGAAAGCCCUCCUCUCCCCCACCCCCCCCAAGACUUUCAGGAAACUUGAUUCAGCCUGGAACCUCCUCCACCUGGCGGCUCUUACACGCCCACAGCAGCCUGGGAGGAGAGCGCCAACAUCCCAUUUUCCAGAUGAGACGACGAAGGGGGUUAGAAGGUAAAUAACACGCUCAAUUUUAUCUCAGUAACCGGCCCAGCGUCCCACGCAGCCAGAGCCUGACCAGCAGAGCUGGCUCCAAAGCUCCUGGGAGGCCGUCUCCGGCCCUGCCCCUCCCAGGCUCAGGCGUCAGGCCCCCUCCUCUGUAGCCAUGGGAACAGCAGAUGUCAUCACAGUACCAGCAAGAUCGGGCUCUCUUUUUCUCAGGCACCGUCCCUGUCAGGCAUGGCACAAACACUGGACCUGUACUGUUCUCACCAAAUCCUCUCCGAAGCCCAGAGGACUGGUACCACUAUUCACCCCACUGUGCCAAUGACAAAGAAAGAAAAGCUCAGAGACGUUAAGCCACUUGCCCAAGGUCACAGAGCUGGCAAGUGGCAGAACCCAGGUUGGAACUCCCAAUGUGCUGCUCUGAUCAGUAGCCCAGGGGUUCCUUUUGCUGCAGAAGACCGAGGCCAGCCUUUCAAAGACCAGACAGUUCUCUCCAUUAUUUUGAGUCUAGAUGCUUCUGGCCCAGACGAACCUCAAGGGCUGGCCCUCUUUGAGUCCACUGACACCAAAGGUUGGGGGAGAGAGGCCAUUUCCUCGUUGGCAAUGAACUGGGCCCCACCCUCGUCACAGCAUGGCCCUUCCCAGGUUCUCGGGC
ensembl:lncRNA